AAUAGAUACCCGGGUAGUCCACGCCGUAAACGUUGGGCACUAGGUGUGGGGACCAUUCCACGGUCUCCGUGCCGCAGCUAACGCAUUAAGUGCCCCGCCUGGGGAGUACGGCCGCAAGGCUAAAACUCAAAGGAAUUGACGGGGGCCCGCACAAGCGGCGGAGCAUGCGGAUUAAUUCGAUGCAACGCGAAGAACCUUACCAAGGCUUGACAUGCACCGGAAACACUCAGAGAUGGGUGCCCCGCAAGGUCGGUGCACAGGUGGUGCAUGGUUGUCGUCAGCUCGUGUCGUGAGAUGUUGGGUUAAGUCCCGCAACGAGCGCAACCCUCGUCCCAUGUUGCCAGCGGGUUAUGCCGGGGACUCAUGGGAGACUGCCGGGGUCAACUCGGAGGAAGGUGGGGAUGACGUCAAAUCAUCAUGCCCCUUAUGUCUUGGGCUUCACGCAUGCUACAAUGGCCGGUACAGAGGGCUGCGAUACCGUAAGGUGAGCGAAUCCCGAAAAAGCCGGUCUCAGUUCGGAUUGGGGUCUGCAACUCCG
rnacentral:rRNA from 1 species